CAGUCGCCGCGGUAACACGGAGGGUGCAAGCGUUAAUCGGAAUUACUGGGCGUAAAGCGUGCGUAGGCGGUUCGUUAAGUCUGUUGUGAAAGCCCCGGGCUCAACCUGGGAAUGGCAGUGGAUACUGGCUCGCUAGAGUGUGUCAGAGGAUGGUGGAAUUCCCGGUGUAGCGGUGAAAUGCGCAGAGAUCGGGAGGAACAUCAGUGGCGAAGGCGGCCAUCUGGGACAACACUGACGCUGAGGCACGAAAGCGUGGGGAGCAAACAGGAUUAGAUACCCGAGUAGUCCCUGUCUCUUAUAA
rnacentral:rRNA from 1 species